rnacentral:sRNA from 1 species
GGGCGUCGGCCUGUGGGCUCC